UACGUAGGGGGCUAGCGUUAUCCGGAAUCACUGGGCGUAAAGGGUGCGUAGGUGGUUUCUUAAGUCAGAGGUGAAAGGCUACGGCUCAACCGUAGUAAGCCUUUGAAACUGGGAAACUUGAGUGCAGGAGAGGAGAGUGGAAUUCCUAGUGUAGCGGUGAAAUGCGUAGAUAUUAGGAGGAACACCAGUUGCGAAGGCGGCUCUCUGGACUGUAACUGACACUGAGGCACGAAAGCGUGGGGAGCAAACAGGAUUAGAUACCCUGGUAGUCCCUGA
rnacentral:rRNA from 1 species